UUUAACUAUAUUCAUAUAAUAAUUGAUAAAUUUUUUUCUUUUACUUGUAAUUGUGAAUAUUUCUUUGUCUAUUUAAUUAUAAAUUUAUAUUUUUCAAAAUUAACAAGUACCAAAAAUAUUUUUAUAAUUUUUUUCAGUAUCAUCAAAUAAUUCAGCAAUCAUGAAGAUUUUCCACUACUUAGUACUUUUCGUCGUAAUGCUGACUAUUGGUUUCAAUGCAGGAGUAAAUGCUGGUCCAUCACAAAUUAAAAAACGUUCUCCUCCAGAAGAUGAUUGUUUCGAUCCAGAGUGCAAUAAGUGAAUGAAAAAUCAAAGUUAUUACAAUUACCAUGUAUUGAAAAAUGUAUUUGUGAAAAAAAUAAUCUGAUGC